rnacentral:ncRNA from 1 species
CAACCUCAACUCAUAUGGGACUACCCCCUGAAUUUAAGCAUAUUAAUUAGGGGAGGAAAAGAAACUAACAAGGAUUUUCUUAGUAGCGGCGAGCGAAAAGAAAACAGUUCAGCACUAAGUCACUUUGUCUAUAUGGCAAAUGUGAGAUGCAGUGUAUGGAGCGUCAAUAUUCUAGUAUGAGAAAUUAAUGAUUUAAGUCCUUCUUAAAUGAGGCCAUUUACCCAUAGAGGGUGCCAGGCCCGUAUAACGUUAAUGAUUGCUAGAUGAUGUUUCCAAAGAGUCGUGUUGCUUGAUAGUGCAGCACUAAGUGGGUGGUAAACUCCAUCUAAAACUAAAUAUAACCAUGAGACCGAUAGUAAACAAGUACCGCGAGGGAAAGUUGAAAAGAACUCUGAAUAGAGAGUUAAACAGUACGUGAGA